GUUAGCAAUGGCACCACAUGGAAGAGAAAUGUCACAAGACCUGAGAAAGCAAAUGAUUUCUUUACACCACAAAGGUGAAGGCUACAAGAAGAUCAGCAAAGCUUUACUUAUCAGUCAGAGUACUGUAGCAAAAAAGGUACAAACACUUUGAGAAGAUGGAACUGCAACCAUCUCACAGAGACGUCCAGGUCGUCCACGGAAGUGAACACCUCGACAGGAGCGUCUUCUGAUGAGAACGGUGGAAGAACAUCGGCAUGCAAGUUCACUGCAGUUAUCUAGGAAGUAUAAAGCCAAACUGGGGCGACUAUUUCCCAUGAGAACAAUACGGCGUACACUGCAGCGGAAUGGCAUGCAUAGUGCCGUCCAGGACGGAAGCCUCUCCUAAAGCCCAGGUACAAAAAAGCCCGCCGAGGGCCCAUGCUGACAAAGAUGAAGACUACUGGGACUCUAUACUCUGGAGUGAUGAAACCAAGAUAAAUGUUUUUGGAACUGAUGGCUUCAAAACUGUAUGGCGUCGCAAAGAUGUACUGCUCUAUGCUGAAAGAGAAGAUGCUACCAUCACUCCGUGCCCUUGGUCGUCGUGCACUUUUCCAACAUGACAAUGAUCCUAAACACACAUCUAAGGCCACUGUUGGAUUUCUGAAGAAGAACAGGGUGAAAGUGAUUCAGUGUCCAAGUAUGUCUCCUGAUCUGAACACAACUGAACACCUAUGGGGAAUUUUGAAGAGAGAAGUUGAGCAUCACUCUCCAUCCAGCAUCCGGUCUCUAAAAGAGGUCAUUGUUGAAGAUUGGAAAAAGAUUGAUGUAGCAAAACGUUUCCAACUUGUUCAUUCCAUGCCUAGAAGACUUGGUACUGUUAUUCAAAAUUAUGGAGGCCAAACAAAGUACUAGAUGUAGUAGUUUUUGUUGUGAGGUGUACUCAUUUUUGCAUCACCCUUCGAGUAAAACUGAAAAAUGUGUAAUCUAAGUUAUAUUAUUAACCUAACUUUCAUGUUAUUAGUUAAACGGAUGUUAUAUUAAACAUAGUCUUGUCAACA